rnacentral:rRNA from 1 species
UCCGUAGGCGGGCAAUUAAGUCAGAGGUGAAAUCCCACAGCUCAACUGUGGAACUGCCUUUGAUACUGGUUGUCUUGAGCUACAGUGAAGUAGAUAGAAUAUGUAGUGUAGCGGUGAAAUGCAUAGAUAUUACAUAGAAUACCGACUGCGAAGGCAGUCUACUAACUGUAUACUGACGCUAAUGGACGAAAGCGUGGGGAGCGAACAGGAUUAGAUACCCUGGUAGUCC